rnacentral:rRNA from 1 species
GACGAACGCUGGCGGCGUGCUUAACACAUGCAAGUCGUACGGUAAGGCCCUUUCGGGGGUACACGAGUGGCGAACGGGUGAGUAACACGUGAGUAACCUGCCCACAACUUUGGGAUAACGCUAGGAAACUGGUGCUAAUACUGGAUAUGUGCUCCUGCUGCAUGGUGGGGGUUGGAAAGCUCCGGCGGUUGUGGAUGGACUCGCGGCCUAUCAGCUUGUUGGUGGGGUAGUGGCCUACCAAGGCGGCGACGGGUAGCCGGCCUGAGAGGGUGACCGGCCACAUUGGGACUGAGAGACGGCCGAGACUCCUACGGGAGGCAGCAGUGGGGAAUAUUGCACAAUGGGCGCAAGCCUGAUGCAGCAACGCCGCGUGCGGGAUGACGGCCUUCGGGUUGUAAACCGCUUUCAGCAGGGACGAAGCUUUUUGUGACGGUACCUGCAGAAGAAGCACCGGCUAACUACGUG